rnacentral:tRNA from 1 species
GCGCCCGUAGCUCAAUUGGAUAGAGCAUCUGACUUCGGAUCAGAGGGCUGGGGGUUCAAGUCCCUCCGGGCGUA